GUCUGGUUUUACCUGGUUUUAAUAGCAGAUUUGUUUUAUCCGCAUACGCAGAUGAUAUUAUUGUUUUUAUUAAAAGCCAGAGAGAUGCGGACAUUUUAACAGAUAUAGUAGAUAGUUUUAGUGUAACAUCGGCAGCGAAGGUAAAUUGGAAGAAAAGUGAGGCCCUCGCUGUCGGGGAGUGGCGUGGCGGUCUCCCAGUUCUUCCCCAGAGCCUCACCUGGAGAACUGACGGCCUGAAAUAUCUCGGAGUAUUUGUAGGAAAAGAAAUUAUUGUCCAGAAGAACUGGGAGAACGUCACAGAAAAGAUUCAGGGAAAGCUUUCCAAGUGGAAGUGGCUGCUCCCUCAGAUGUCUUUUAAAGGUAGGGUUUUGGUUUUAAACAACCUUGUAGCAUCCCAAUUGUGGCACCGUCUGACCUGUGUAGACCCUCCCUCUGGCCUUUUAGCAAAACUGCAGAAAGAAAUGGUAGAUUUUUUUUGGGAUGGUCUACACUGGGUGCCACAGGGGGUGCUGUUUUUAUCCAGAGAGGAGGGGGGACAGGGCCUUGUCCACCUGGCCAGCCGAACAGCCACUUUUAGACUUCAGUUUUUACAAAAAUAUCUUACCGGCCCGGCUGAUUUGGUGUGGAGAGAUGUGACCAGCUGCAUUCUCAGACGUGUAAAUAACCUGGGGCUGGAUGCUGCUCUGUUUUUAACUGAUUCUAAUUUUUUAAAGUUAAAUGGGCUGCCUCCAUUUUAUCAGGGUGUUUUUAAGUCUUGGGCCCUUUUUAAUCAUAAAAGGUGUCCAAUGUCGGACUCUCUGCACUGGUUGUUGAAGGAGCCUUUAAUUUACAGAGCCAGGCUGGACGUCAGCAGCAGCAGCACACCCAGCCUGAUGGUGGCGCUCUGCAGGUCCAGAACCCUGUGCCUGCAGCAACUGGUGGAUGCAGUGGGGCCGGCGCUGAGUGAUGCCCGAGCCCUGGGCUUGCUGCUGGGUCUGACCUCCGUUCGAGUGGCUGAGAGGAUUCUGGAGCUGUGGAGUCAGAGGCUAUCGGGGAAGGAGAAGACAAUAAUAAAAGACUACAGUGACGGGAAGGCUUCUCCAGACCCAGCAGACCCUUUUCCAGAGAUCAACCUGAGCCCAGGGCUGGGAGAACUGACCGGUCCCCUGCUCAAGGUCAUUAACCCGGCAGGACUGACGCUGCACAGAGCCGACAAAAAGACUCUAUAUAUGAACUGUGUCAAAAGCAUCCACAAGAAAGGCCUGUGCAGCAGACCCUCCACUGUGUGGAGCAACAGACUGGGUUCAGGAAGUGGACCAAGCCCACAGUGGGGGUCUUUUUACAAACCUCCCCUCAAAAAGCGGACAGCCGACCUCCAGUGGAGGAUUUUACAUGGUGCCGUCGCUUGUAACGCUUUUAUCGCCGUUAUUAAUCCCGCUGUUUUUAACAAAUGCCCUUUCUGCAACCUACGUGAGACUGUAUUCCAUGUUUUUACUGAGUGUAAGAGACUCACAGAGUUCUUCUCUCUUUUAACAUUGGUUUUUAGUCUUUUUAACGUAGUUUUUACCGAGAGUCUUUUUAUCAUGGGAUACAAAAAAGACAACAAAGAAAAGUGGCAGCUCCUAAAUUUCCUCCAAAAAUGGCCAUAUACAUUAGCAGGAAAAACAGAGUUGAGAACAGAGAGGGGCAGGAGGCCAAGACAGUGUGGCUGUGCAAUAUCAGGGCAAGACUCUGGCUCGAUUUUAGGUUUCACAAACAUACCGGGGAUCUCGACACUUUUAAAGAACGUUGGUGUUUUAAAAAUAUUAUCUGCACUGUGAACAAUGAAUGUUUACACUUUGCACAGGUUUUUAUUGGAUAAUUUUUUAUCAAUAGUUGUUAUUUAUAAAUGUAUAUUUUUUG
ensembl:lncRNA